rnacentral:rRNA from 1 species
UACGUAGGGUGCGAGCGUUGUCCGGAAUUAUUGGGCGUAAAGAGCUUGUAGGCGGUUUGUCGCGUCUGCCGUGAAAAUCCGAGGCUCAACCUCGGACUUGCGGUGGGUACGGGCAGACUAGAGUGUGGUAGGGGGAGACUGGAAUUCCUGGUGUAGCGGUGAAAUGCGCAGAUAUCAGGAGGAACACCGAUGGCGAAGGCAGGUCUCUGGGCCACUACUGACGCUGAGAAGCGAAAGCAUGGGGAGCGAACAGG